rnacentral:rRNA from 1 species
GACGUAGGUGGCGAACGUUAUCCGGAAUUAUUGGGCGUAAAGGGUGCGUAGAUGGCAUGAUAAGUUAUUAGUGGGAAAUCGAGGCUCAACCUCGUGGAAGCUGGUAAUACUGUUUUGCUUGAGUGCAGGAGAGGUUAACGGAACUCCAUGUGGAGCGGUAAAAUGCGUAGAUAUAUGGAAGAACAUCAAUAACGGCGAAGGCAGUUAACUAUUCUGCUACUGACAUUGAGGCACGAAAGCGUGGGGAGCAAAACGG